ACGGGAGGCAGCAGUGGGGAAUAUUGGGCAAUGGGCGAAAGCCUGACCCAGCAACGCCGCGUGAAGGAAGAAGGUUUUCGGAUUGUAAACUUCUUUUAUCAGGGACGAAGGAAGUGACGGUACCUGAUGAAUAAGCCACGGCUAACUACGUGCCAGCAGCCGCGGUAAUACGUAGGUGGCAAGCGUUAUCCGGAUUUAUUGGGUGUAAAGGGCGCGUAGGCGGGGAUGCAAGUCAGAUGUGAAAUCCAUGGGCUUAACCCAUGAACUGCAUUUGAAACUGUAUUUCUUGAGUGUCGGAGAGGUAGACGGAAUUCCUAGUGUAGCGGUGAAAUGCGUAGAUAUUAGGAGGAACACCAGUGGCGAAGGCGGCUUGCUGGACGACAACUGACGCUGAGGCGCGAAAGCGUGGGGAGCAAACAGGAUUAGAUACCCUGGUA
rnacentral:rRNA from 1 species